GGGUUGUGAGGUUAAGCGACUAAGCGUACACGGUGGAUGCCCUGGCAGUCAGAGGCGAUGAAGGACGUGCUAAUCUGCGAUAAGCGUCGGUAAGGUGAUAUGAACCGUUAUAACCGGCGAUUUCCGAAUGGGGAAACCCAGUGUGAUUCGUCACACUAUCAUUAACUGAAUCCAUAGGUUAAUGAGGCGAACCGGGGGAACUGAAACAUCUAAGUACCCCGAGGAAAAGAAAUCAACCGAGAUUCCCCCAGUAGCGGCGAGCGAACGGGGAGCAGCCCAGAGCCUGAAUCAGUGUGUGUGUUAGUGGAAGCGUCUGGAAAGGCGCGCGAUACAGGGUGACAGCCCCGUACACAAAAAUGCACAUGCUGUGAGCUCGAUGAGUAGGGCGGGACACGUGGUAUCCUGUCUGAAUAUGGGGGGACCAUCCUCCAAGGCUAAAUACUCCUGACUGACCGAUAGUGAACCAGUACCGUGAGGGAAAGGCGAAAAGAACCCCGGCGAGGGGAGUGAAAAAGAACCUGAAACCGUGUACGUACAAGCAGUGGGAGCCUCUUUUAUGGGGUGACUGCGUACCUUUUGUAUAAUGGGUCAGCGACUUAUAUUCUGUAGCAAGGUUAACCGAAUAGGGGAGCCGAAGGGAAACCGAGUCUUAACUGGGCGUUAAGUUGCAGGGUAUAGACCCGAAACCCGGUGAUCUAGCCAUGGGCAGGUUGAAGGUUGGGUAACACUAACUGGAGGACCGAACCGACUAAUGUUGAAAAAUUAGCGGAUGACUUGUGGCUGGGGGUGAAAGGCCAAUCAAACCGGGAGAUAGCUGGUUCUCCCCGAAAGCUAUUUAGGUAGCGCCUCGUGAAUUCAUCUCCGGGGGUAGAGCACUGUUUCGGCAAGGGGGUCAUCCCGACUUACCAACCCGAUGCAAACUGCGAAUACCGGAGAAUGUUAUCACGGGAGACACACGGCGGGUGCUAACGUCCGUCGUGAAGAGGGAAACAACCCAGACCGCCAGCUAAGGUCCCAAAGUCAUGGUUAAGUGGGAAACGAUGUGGGAAGGCCCAGACAGCCAGGAUGUUGGCUUAGAAGCAGCCAUCAUUUAAAGAAAGCGUAAUAGCUCACUGGUCGAGUCGGCCUGCGCGGAAGAUGUAACGGGGCUAAACCAUGCACCGAAGCUGCGGCAGCGACGCUUAGGCGUUGUUGGGUAGGGGAGCGUUCUGUAAGCCUGCGAAGGUGUACUGUGAGGUAUGCUGGAGGUAUCAGAAGUGCGAAUGCUGACAUAAGUAACGAUAAAGCGGGUGAAAAGCCCGCUCGCCGGAAGACCAAGGGUUCCUGUCCAACGUUAAUCGGGGCAGGGUGAGUCGACCCCUAAGGCGAGGCCGAAAGGCGUAGUCGAUGGGAAACAGGUUAAUAUUCCUGUACUUGGUGUUACUGCGAAGGGGGGACGGAGAAGGCUAUGUUGGCCGGGCGACGGUUGUCCCGGUUUAAGCGUGUAGGCUGGUUUUCCAGGCAAAUCCGGAAAAUCAAGGCUGAGGCGUGAUGACGAGGCACUACGGUGCUGAAGCAACAAAUGCCCUGCUUCCAGGAAAAGCCUCUAAGCAUCAGGUAACAUCAAAUCGUACCCCAAACCGACACAGGUGGUCAGGUAGAGAAUACCAAGGCGCUUGAGAGAACUCGGGUGAAGGAACUAGGCAAAAUGGUGCCGUAACUUCGGGAGAAGGCACGCUGAUACGUAGGUGAAGUCCCUCGCGGAUGGAGCUGAAAUCAGUCGAAGAUACCAGCUGGCUGCAACUGUUUAUUAAAAACACAGCACUGUGCAAACACGAAAGUGGACGUAUACGGUGUGACGCCUGCCCGGUGCCGGAAGGUUAAUUGAUGGGGUCAGCGCAAGCGAAGCUCUUGAUCGAAGCCCCGGUAAACGGCGGCCGUAACUAUAACGGUCCUAAGGUAGCGAAAUUCCUUGUCGGGUAAGUUCCGACCUGCACGAAUGGCGUAAUGAUGGCCAGGCUGUCUCCACCCGAGACUCAGUGAAAUUGAACUCGCUGUGAAGAUGCAGUGUACCCGCGGCAAGACGGAAAGACCCCGUGAACCUUUACUAUAGCUUGACACUGAACAUUGAGCCUUGAUGUGUAGGAUAGGUGGGAGGCUUUGAAGUGUGGACGCCAGUCUGCAUGGAGCCGACCUUGAAAUACCACCCUUUAAUGUUUGAUGUUCUAACGUGGACCCGUGAUCCGGGUUGCGGACAGUGUCUGGUGGGUAGUUUGACUGGGGCGGUCUCCUCCUAAAGAGUAACGGAGGAGCACGAAGGUUGGCUAAUCCUGGUCGGACAUCAGGAGGUUAGUGCAAUGGCAUAAGCCAGCUUGACUGCGAGCGUGACGGCGCGAGCAGGUGCGAAAGCAGGUCAUAGUGAUCCGGUGGUUCUGAAUGGAAGGGCCAUCGCUCAACGGAUAAAAGGUACUCCGGGGAUAACAGGCUGAUACCGCCCAAGAGUUCAUAUCGACGGCGGUGUUUGGCACCUCGAUGUCGGCUCAUCACAUCCUGGGGCUGAAGUAGGUCCCAAGGGUAUGGCUGUUCGCCAUUUAAAGUGGUACGCGAGCUGGGUUUAGAACGUCGUGAGACAGUUCGGUCCCUAUCUGCCGUGGGCGCUGGAGAACUGAGGGGGGCUGCUCCUAGUACGAGAGGACCGGAGUGGACGCAUCACUGGUGUUCGGGUUGUCAUGCCAAUGGCACUGCCCGGUAGCUAAAUGCGGAAGAGAUAAGUGCUGAAAGCAUCUAAGCACGAAACUUGCCCCGAGAUGAGUUCUCCCUGACCCUUUAAGGGUCCUGAAGGAACGUUGAAGACGACGACGUUGAUAGGCCGGGUGUGUAAGCGCAGCGAUGCGUUGAGCUAACCGGUACUAAUGAACCGUGAGGCUUAACCUUACAACGCCGAAGGUGUUU
rnacentral:rRNA from 1 species